rnacentral:rRNA from 1 species
AGCGAACGCUGGCGGCAGGCCUAACACAUGCAAGUCGAACGGACCCUUCGGGGUUAGUGGCGGACGGGUGAGUAACACGUGGGAACGUGCCUUUAGGUUCGGAAUAGCUCCUGGAAACGGGUGGUAAUGCCAAAUGUGCCCUUCGGGGGAAAGAUUUAUCGCCUUUAGAGCGGCCCGCGUCUGAUUAGCUAGUUGGUGGUGUAACGGACCACCAAGGCGACGAUCAGUAGCUGGUCUGAGAGGAUGAUCAGCCACAUUGGGCCUGAGACACGGCCCAAACUCCUACGGGAGGCAGCAGUGGGGAAUCUUGCGCAAUGGGCGAAAGCCUGACGCAGCCAUGCCGCGUGAAUGAUGAAGGUCUUAGGAUUGUAAAAUUCUUUCACCGGGGACGAUAAUGACGGUACCCGGAGAAGAAGCCCCGGCUAACUUCGUGCCAGCAGCCGCGGUAAUAC